GAUCAUGGCUCAGAGUGAACGCUGGCGGUAGGCCUAACACAUGCAAGUCGAACGGCAGCACAGUAAGAGCUUGCUCUUAUGGGUGGCGAGUGGCGGACGGGUGAGGAAUACAUCGGAAUCUACCUUUUCGUGGGGGAUAACGUAGGGAAACUUACGCUAAUACCGCAUACGACCUCGGUGAAGACAGGGACCGUCGGGCCGUCGUCGCGGNGAGAUGAGCCGAUGUCGGAGUUAGCUAGUUGGUCGGGGUAAACGGG
rnacentral:rRNA from 1 species